GGGGCGUGCUGACAAAUUUAUCUGUGAACACUUGAAUACACUUGGCUCUCCAUGUCCAUGAGUUCCGCAUCUGCAGAUUCAACCAACCAGAGAAUGAAAACAUUUCCAGAAAAAAAAAAGAAUUCCAGAAGGUUCCAAAAAGUAAAACUUGAAUUUGUCAAGGUUACAAACUAUGUUGUAUUUACAGCUGUUUACGUAUCAUUUACAUUGUAUUAAUGGUAGUAUCAGUAAUCUAGAGAUGAUUUAUAGAUAUGGGUAGGAUGUACUGUUAAUAUACAAAUACCUUACCAUUUUAUGUAAGGGACUUCAGCAUCUGCCGGUUUUGUUGUGUUGGGACUGAAAGUCCUGGAAUCAGCCCCAUGGAUUCCAAGGUAUGUCUGUAUGUUAAGACAAUGGAGAAGAGGAAACAUUGGCGGACUCUUAGAAUGAUGGCCUAAAUACUUUUGUAAUUUGGAGCCCAGAUUUCAUGAUUUGAGUUUCAUGUUGGAAACUUAAUAGAGAAAGAAGGUCAUUGUUCUCUAAAGUUUUUUCUUAAGGCAAGACAACAUUCAUUAUCACUGUAUGACAUACUUCUCUGUGCUUUUAAGACGAAGUACUGGGAGUUCCUGUCGUGGCUCAGUGGAAACAAAUCUGACUAGUAUCCAUGAAGACGCAGGUACAAUUCCUGGCCUUGCUCAGUGGUUAAGGAUCUGGCGUUGCUGUGAGCUGUGGUAUAGGUUGCAGACGCAGCUCAGAUCUGGCAUUACUGUAGCUGUGGUGUAGGCGGCAGCUGUAGCUCUGAUUCGACCCCUAGCCUGGGAACCUCCCUAUGCUGUGGGUGUGGCCCUAAAAUAUAUAUAAAAUAAAAUGAAGUACUUCCUUUCUAAAGAAGUGUUGUAUGUCAGGAUUCCCGUCGUGGCACAGUGGAAACGAAUCGAACCAUGAGGUUUCGGGUUCGAUCCCUGGCCCUGCUCAGUGGGUUAAGGAUCUGCUGUUGUCUCGACCUGUGGUGUAGGUCACAGAUUCGGCUUGGAUCUGGUGGUAUUGUGCCUCUGCUGGCCUCUGCCAGAGCCACAGCAACACCAGAUCCAAGCCGUGUCUUUGACCUACACCACAGGCAACGCCGGAUUCUUAACCCACUGAGCGAGGCCAGGGAUCGAGCCUGCAACCUCAUGGUUCCUAGUUGGAUUCACUGUGUCUUUUUUUUUAGAUUCCACAUGUAAGUGAUAGCAUUUGAUGUUGGUGUCUCAUUGUCUGACUGACUUCACUUAGCAUGAUAAUUUCUAGGUCCAUCCGUGUUGCUGCAAAUGCCAUGAUUUCUUUCCUUUUAAUGGCUGAGUAAUAUUCUAUUGUGUAUAUUAGAGUCCUUCAGGGGUUCUGCCCAGGGCAAGUGUCUCUGUUUUUAAUAUUUGUUAAUUGAAGUAUGGCACACAUAAUGCAAAGUACACAGUUCAUUAGGGAUGAUGAAUUAUAAAGUGAACACAGAACGCACUGCUGUUGUGUUUUGAAAAAGCUUCUUUGGUGAUUAUGAUAAGCUUUCCUUUAAAAGAAAUCACUGGACUUGAGGCUGUAGGUAAUCUCAUGUCUUUUACAGUUCUUUUCUAGAGAGAAAUCAGCAGAAACAGUGGUAGAAGAAAUAUGACCAGUCACAGAAACUUGUCUUGAAUAGGUUUAUUGGGCUUAUAUAUUAAGUCUUUUCUUCUGAUAUUUUUCUUCUUCCUCUUUGCCUUUUUUUCUUUCUGUCUAGGUCCUGGAUGGAAUGGAGAGGGGUCCUACUGAACCUCUGUCUUUUCUGAGAGUGGUCAGAGUGUUCUUAAACAGGUCUGUUGAUUCUAUAGUAUACAAAUGCAAGUUUUUGAAUUAUAAAAGAUUUGGUUUCAACCUAAACAAAAGAUUGAAUUAGAAAUAGACUUCACUUUUUAAAAAAGAAAGUGUUUUUAUUUCAUUGUCCACAGAGUAUUUUACUUUGGCAAGCUGAAUUUGGCCUGUGGAUUGAACUCUGAGUGACUAAAUAAGAUCUGCUUAGUAGGAAAGCAGUUGAAUCAACCUUUAUUAGUUAUGUUGAAUAUAUGUAGUAUGGAAGAAUUCUUUAUUGGUUCCAUGGAAAGUACCAAGAAAAGAUAAAAAGGUGAAUAUCUCAGUUGUCUGUGAUUCUGUCUAAGAAGGAAAGUAAUUAUUUGGCCUCUUUCUAAUAUUCUCAGAAUUUAUAACAUUGGAGAAAAACAAUCAAAGCUACCUUUACCUUGCAAAUCUCUGAUUCAGGGAAGGGCAUGUAUAUAUUGGUUUGGUUUUGUUUACUUUUCAUCUCCCUCUUUCUGUGUCACCAUGAAUGAACUUUAUCAUUAUUCAGACAGAUAAAAACUCAUGUUUAGUAAUUUCCGAAACUUGUCUUUACAUUGGAAUCACCUCUGGAGCUUUGUAAAGUACCGAUGCCUUUGUCCCCUUUCCCCAUCACACCCUUCACUCCAGAUUGUGAUGUAAUUGGGGGUAUGGCCUAGGAAUUUUUAAAAGAUCCUAAAGUGAUCCUGCUCUUUGGUGAUUCCCAAGGUGCAGACAAGGUUGGGAGUCACUGCUCUAGCUAGUUAAAGCAGAUCUGGCUACUACACAACUUGUGACUUUUUUUGCGUAAAUAUUUGAAUAAAUACAUAAAUAAGCAGAUAAAUAUUUUGAUUUAAGUAUCCUGUACUUUAAACCUAAGUUCUUACUAGAAUGUAAGCUACAUAAGAGCAGGUAGCAUGUCUCCAUUUUCCUCAAUAUUAUAUCUUUAUCAUUUAGAACAACACCUGGCAUGUAUUGUACGGUUAAAUACUUGUUGAAUGAAUGAAUGAACCUGUCAAAGUAUGCUUUUACCUAAUAUUUGAGUGGUCCGAGAUAUAGAGUGGAAGUGAAGAGCUCAGCCUCUGUAACUGACUGGGCUCCAGUCACAGUUCUGUCACUUUCUAGCUAUAUGUGACCUUAAGUUACUUCUCUGAGUGUCCUUAUUUGUAUAAUGGGGGUAACAAUCUAUUUUGUGGGCUUAUUGGGGGGACUAAUUUAGGUAAAAAUCCUGAGUGCUUAAAACAGUGCCUGGUGAAUAGUAGUGUUCUAUAACUUUUAGGUAUGGUAGAGUUCAAGACACUCAGAAUUCUCUGUAAUAGUUAUUCUGGAGUAAUUUAACUAUAGGAUGUUGUGUGAGGCUAAGGUAGAAUAAUGGAACAGCUAAAUUAGAUGUAGUUAAAGGCUUGACAAAGAAGAUGACUUUUUUUUUUUUUGGUCAACUUAAUGAGAUAUAAUUUAUAUACAAUAAACUACCUCCAUUUAAAAGUGAAACAUGUUUCACUGAGCUUUGACAGAUAUAUUUAUUAGUUUACAGUAUUUGUUAUGAAACUGCUGCCCCAAGCAAAUUACAGAAAACUUCCACCUUCCUAAAUAUUCCUUAUAUUCCUUUGCAGUUUGUUCCAUUCAAUGCCUCCAUCCAUAUAUUGCUUUUCAUUUUCUAGAAUUUUAUGUAAAUGCAUUCAUACACUAUAUUCUUUUUUGUGUCUAGCUCUUUCACUCAGCAGAAUGAUUUUUGGUACUUAUCCAUUUGUUGCAUGUAUCAGUGGUUCAUUCCAUUUGAGUGUGGAGUAGUGUUUUGUUGUAUGGAUAUAACAUGCUUGUUUAUUCACAUGUGAUAGACAUUUGAGUUGUUUCCAGGUUUUGAUGAUUGUGAAUAAAGCUACUGUAAAGCAUUUUUGUACAAGUCUUUGAAUAGACAUAUUUUCACUUAUUUUUUAGGAAAUCCCUAGCAGUACUGCUGGGUUAUAUGGUAUAUCUAAUUUUUUUUUAAAUCUAACUUGUAAAAAAACUGCCAAACCAUUUAAAAGGAGGUGAACUUUCAGCANNNNNNNNNNNNNNNCUGUUAGUUAUCUGUUGUUGCAUGACAAACUGCACAAAUUUAGCAGCUUAUAACAGCAGACAUUUUUUUUUCCUUUUUACCACUGCACCUGUAGCAUACGGAAGUUCCUGGGCUAGGGUUUGAAUUGGAGCUGCAGCUGCUGGCCUACACCCAAGCCACAGCAAUAAUGGAUCCAAGCUGUGUCUGUGACUUAGACUGCAGUUUGCAGCAACACUGGAUCCUUUACCCACUGAGCAAGGGCAGGGAUCGAAACCCGCAUGCUCACAGAUACUAUGUCGGGUUCUUAACCUGCUGGAACUCCAUAAUAAACAUUUAUUAUGGCACAAUUUCCAUGGGUCAAGAAUCUAGGUACAGCUUAGAUGGGCCCUCUGUUUCUGGGUCUCUUACAGUCAGCAGUCAAGGUGUCAGCCAAGAGUGGAGUCUCAUCUCAGUGCUUAACUGAAGAAGGAUUUGCUUCUAAGCGUAAUUGGUUGUUGGCAGAAUUAACUUCCUCAAGGGAUGUUAGAUUAAAGGCCUUGGUUUCUCACUGGCUGUUUGGCUGAGGCUGUUGUCAGUUCCCUUGCCUUGUGGCCUCUCCAACAUGGCAAGCUGAGAAGGCAAUAGAGUCUCCUAGGGAGAUGGAAGCCUUAUCCUUUUAUAAACUAAUCAUGGACGUGCCGUCCCAUCACCUUUGCCAUAUUCUGUUGAUUAGGAGUAAGUCACUAGGCCAGCCCACACUUGGGAAUGGAAGGCAGGGGAGAUUACACUAGGGCUUGAAUUCCAGGCAACUGAGAUAAUUGGUGGCCAUCUUAGAAGUCCAUCUACCACAGAAGACAUGGCUUAGUGCCAAACUGGAACUAGAUAGGACAUUAAGAGGUGUGGAGAGAUGGUUAGGAGUAGCUUGUAAAUUUUUCCUUACCGUCCUUGUAUCAAACCAUGUAUCUUUCUUUCUUCUGUCACAUCAGCUUCUCUCCUCUUCAAGAACAGAGACAUAACACAAAGGUCAUUCUCAUAAGGAGGUUUUAAUCUUGAGUAGGUUUUGGGUGUGUGUUUUUUUAAAAAAGAUUCAGUUAAGGCCUGUCCCUGUACUACUUAGCAUUUCUAUAUGUUUUUGAUUUUGUUUUUUAAUUUUAUGGCCGCACCUGUGGCAUAUGGAAGUUCCUGGGCAUCUGUGGCAAUGCCAGAUCCUUUAACCCACUGCACUGGGCCUGGGAUCAAACCUGAGAGUGACCCAUGCUGCUACAGUUGGAUUCUUAACCCACUGGAUCACAGCAGAAACGUGUGUGUGUGUGUGUGUUCUCCUUUUUAGGGCCGUACCUAAGGCAUAUGGAAGUUUUCAGGCUAGGAGUCAAAUCCGAGCUACAGCUGUCAGCCUAUGCCACAGCAACACAGGACCCAAGCUACAUCUUCGCCCUAUGCUGCAGCUUGCGGCAAUGCUGGAUCCUUAACCUGCUGAGCGAGGCCAGGGAUUGAACCUACAUCCUCAUGGAUACUAGUUAGAUUCUUAAUCUGCUGAGCCACAGCAGGAACUCCUAUAUAUGUAUUUAAAAAAAA
rnacentral:lncRNA from 1 species